AUAUGUUAUUUUUUACUGAGCGCUUGCAAAUUUGCAGCCUAAACCGGGAUAGGAAUAGUCAUUUUAUACCCGUGAACCGUAGCACGUAUUUCAGGAGCGCCAGGGUCCUCUUCAAACAUAGGGGUUCUUUUUUCUUCUAAAAUCUUUUCAAUCUGAAAACCCUCACUUUGAGCGAUGUCGAAGAAGAUCAUAUCUUUUUUAGCCAGAUGUGGACGGUGAUGGGUAAAGAAAACGUAGACUACAGCGUUUGGAUUACCUUCAAUAGCCAUUUUGCAAGAUUUUAUCAGCUUUGAAUGCUCAGUAUGGUUGAAAACUAAAUCAGAAAGCAGUAAAAUAUCAAACACCUCAUUGUCUUUAAAACCAGCAUUCGACAUGACUUCUUUUAUGUUAGAACCCCAGAGAUAUCCCACUGCAGAAAUUUUACUGGCUAUUUCAGCAUAUUGCUUAACAUUAUGCUCAAGGUUAUCGAUUAAAGCAGGAUCAGGGUAAUCAGUCGAAACUACAAAUUUUGCUCCGUCAAAAGCAGAAACAAUGGAAGGAAGACCAGCUCCAGCUCCAAGUUCAAGUACCUUUUUUGCACGUACAGUGUCAGGGUUUUUGUCAAUAUAGUUGGCUAAUUCAAUGCCGCUGUUCCAGAGAUAAUGUGCCCAUAAUGAAUGACUCCCUACCAAUCGCAACUUGAUUUCUUCUGGUCUAUUAUACAUAACGAUGUUAAUAUACUAACCUCUAUAUAUUGUUUAUAAAAAAAAGCUAUCUGUCUAGCCUGUGAGUGGUUUUAAAUCAUACCCAUUCGGCACUAUAACUCGUGUGUGUAAAACUUCUUUAGGAGGAGGAGUAGAAGGUCGAAACCCUUCAGGUUCUUCAAAAAUUCCAAAUCCCUCGAAAUCAUUAUCGGCCAUGAUUCCUGAACUUCUUUUUUGAGGAUAUUAGAAUUCGUGCUAAAGUAAGGUGGUAAGGUAAUUAAAAAAGCAAAUUCAAUUAGCGAUGAAGUUUAAUAAUUCUCUUGUGGGGAACCAAAAUAAAACGUUGAGGAAAUGAAAUGGUUUCAGUAUUCGGUGAAUACUCAAUUACUUUCGGUUCACAUUCAAGGACGAAGUAUUUUGUCUAAUACCAACACAAGCAAAGUUGUAC